rnacentral:rRNA from 1 species
AAUGACGGUACCUGAGGAAUAAGCAUCGGCUAACUCCGUGCCAGCAGCCGCGGUAAUACGGAGGAUGCAAGCGUUAUCCGGAAUGAUUGGGCGUAAAGCGUCCGCAGGUGGCUAUGAAAGUCUGCUGUUAAAGAGCAAGGCUCAACCUUGUAAAGGCAGUGGAAACUACAUGGCUAGAGUGCGUUCGGGGCAGAGGGAAUUCCUGGUGUAGCGGUGAAAUGCGUAGAGAUCAGGAAGAACACCGGUGGCGAAAGCGCUCUGCUAGGCCGCAACUGACACUGAGGGACGAAAGCUAGGGGAGCGAAUGGGAUUAGAUACC